rnacentral:rRNA from 1 species
UUGACGGGGACCCGCACAAGCAGCGGAGCGUGUGGUUUAACUCGUUGCUACACGAAGAACCUUACCUGGGUUUGACAUAUAGGUUGUAGGGAACUGAAAAGGGACCGACCCUUCGGGGAGCCUAUACAGGUGUUGCAUGGCUGUCGUCAGCUCGUGUCGUGAGAUGUUCGGUUAAGUCCGCUAACGAGCGCAACCCUCGUCGUAUGUUAUAUGUGUCAUACGAGACUGCCGGUAAAAAGCCGGAGGAAGGUGAGGAUGAUGUCAAGUCAGCAUGACCUUUAUAUCCAGGGCUACACACACGCUACAAUGGUCUGUACAAUGGGUAGCCAAGCCGCGAGGCGGAGCCAAUCCUGAAAGCAGGCCUCAGUUCAGAUUGCAGUCUGCAACUCGACUGCAUGAAGCUGGAGUUGCUAGUAACCGCAGGUCAGCAAUACUGCGGUGAAUACGUUCCCGGGUCUU